GAUGAACGCUGGCGGCGUGCCUAAUACAUGCAAGUCGAGCGAACGGACGAGAAGCUUGCUUCUCUGAUGUUAGCGGCGGACGGGUGAGUAACACGUGGAUAACCUACCUAUAAGACUGGGAUCACUUCGGGAAACCGGAGCUAAUACCGGAUGAUAUUUUGAACCGCAUGGUUCAAAAGUGAAAGACGGUCUUGCUGUCACUUAUAGAUGGAUCCGCGCUGCAUUAGCUAGUUGGUAAGGUAACGGCUUAUCAAGGCAACGAUGCAUAGCCGACCUGAGAGAGUCAUCGCCCACACGGGAGCUGAGACACGGUCCAUGCAACUACGAGAAGCUGCAGAAUGGAACCUGCCGCAAUAGGCGAAAGUCUGACGGAGCCACGCCACGCGAGUGAUGAUGAUCUUGAGUUCGUAAUACGGUGUUAUUAGGGAAAAACAGAUUUGUCAGUAAAUGUGCACAUCGUGACGGUACCUAAUCAGAAAGCCACGGCUAACUACGUG
rnacentral:rRNA from 1 species